CGAGUUCCCGUACGAUCACCGGUGUUAAGCAACGUCGAGCCUGAUCAGUACCUAGAUGGGUAACCGCUUGGGAAUACCAGGGACUGUAAG